rnacentral:rRNA from 1 species
CGUGAAAUUGUUGAAAGGGAAGCGUUUAUGACCAGACUUGGGCUUGGUUAAUCAUCUGGGGUUCUCCCCAGUGCACUUUUCCAGUCCAGGCCAGCAUCAGUUUUCGCCGGGGGAUAAAGACUUCGGGAAUGUGGCUCUCUUCGGGGAGUGUUAUAGCCCGUUGUGUAAUACCUGGCGGGGACUGAGGUUCGCGCAUCUGCAAGGAUGCUGGCGUAAUGGUCAUCAACG